rnacentral:tRNA from 1 species
UCUAAGUUAGUAUAAAUUUAUUAUGUCUGUUUUUCGUGCAGAUGAUAAAAGUAAUUUUAUUUAGAU